GGGGAUUUAGCUCAGUCGUAGAGCACUUGCCUAGCAAGCACAAGGCCCUGGGUUCGGUCCCCAGCUCCG
rnacentral:tRNA from 1 species